CCAAUAGCGUAUAUUAAAGUUGUUGCAGUUAAAAAGCUCGUAGUUGAAUUUCGGGGUUAGUAGGUUGGUCAUGCCUCUGGUAUGUACUGGUCUCACUGAUUCCUCCUUCCUGAUGAGCUGUAAUGCCAUUAAUUUGGUGUUGCAGGGAAUCUGGACUGUUACUUUGAAAAAAUUAGAGUGUUUAAAGCAGGCUAACGCUUGAAUCCAUUAGCAUGGAAUAAUGAAAGAGGACGUUCGAUCCUAUUUUGUUGGUUUCUAGGAUUGACGUAAUGAUUAAUAGGGAUAGUUGGGGGCAUUAGUAUUCAAUUGUCAGAGGUGAAAUUCUUGGAUUUAUUGAAGACUAACUACUGCGAAAGCAUUUGUCAAGGAUGUUUUCAUUAAUCAAGAACGAAAGUUAGGGGAUCGAAGACGGUCAGAUACCGUCGUAGUCUUAACCAUAAACUAUGCCGACUAGGGAUCGGAUGAUGUUAAUUUUUUAAUGACUCAUUCGGCGCCUUACG
rnacentral:rRNA from 1 species